rnacentral:lncRNA from 1 species
UGACCUCAAGGUCCUUCUUUCAGGGAUCUUGCCAGGAAGUUCAGUUGGCAGGAUGGCAGCAGCAGACACACAGGGUGGUUAAGAACAACAAACACAGGCAAACCACUUCAAUAGAACAUGGCUGGCGGCCAUAUGGACAUAUAUGAAUCCAACAAUUAAUUCAGCAAAGAAAGCUGCUUGUGGCAAGUUUUGAAUGUGCCAUUCCAGGUAGUGCUUUGAUGAUAAAUGAGGAGAAGAUUGCAAAGAAAAUGACAGCAACAUUUAUAAAAGGAUUCCUCUUAGGACUCCGGAUGCACAGAGAGUGGCCAGAUUAAUACAGACUGGCAAAAGAAGAACUUGGCAAAGUGAUUUGAUCACACACUUCUCACCCUCACAUCUCCUGACAGUUCCCCUAAUCCCUGCCCCACUUCCCCGCCAUGGGCUUCCAUCAGGAAACUCCUUGAUAUCAUCUUCGGUAUGUACCUCAUAAAGUUAAGAAAUGGAAUAUUAAUAACAACUUUUAACAUAAUC